rnacentral:rRNA from 1 species
AUUGAACGCUGGCGGCAGGCCUAACACAUGCAAGUCGAGCGGAUGAAGGGAGCUUGCUCCUGGAUUCAGCGGCGGACGGGUGAGUAAUGCCUAGGAAUCUGCCUGGUAGUGGGGGAUAACGUCCGGAGACGGGCGCUAAUACCGCAUACGUCCUGAGGGAGAAAGUGGGGGAUCUUCGGACCUCACGCUAUCAGAUGAGCCUAGGUCGGAUUAGCUAGUUGGUGGGGUAAAGGCCUACCAAGGCGACGAUCCGUAACAGGUCUGAGAGGAUGAUCAGUCACACUGGAACUGAGACACGGUCCAGACUCCUACGGGAGGCAGCAGUGGGGAAUAUUGGACAAUGGGCGAAAGCCUGAUCCAGCCAUGCUGCGUGUGUGAAGAAGGUCUUCGGAUUGUAAAGCACUUUAAGUUGGGAGGAAGGGCAGUAAGUUAAUACCUUGCUGUUUUGACGUUACCAACAGAAUAAGCACCGGCUAACUUCGUG